AUAAACAUAGCGUUACAAUCCCUCAAUGAAAGAACAAAAACAAUCCCUCAAAUCCCUCACUGAAACUGGCGUAAAUCUCGGUUCCCUCACAAUCCCUCAUAACCCCUCACUUGCAAUCCCUCCCUCACAAUCCCUCACUGAAAGAGCUGCUCUUACCCUCACAGAGACCGACGGUGUAAAUCUCGGUUCGAAAGAAGAACAAAAAGGUACCCUGUUGGAUGGAGAAUUCGAAUAAGCCAAUUUUGAUAAACAUCUCAAGGAAUCAGGAUUACCAGUUUUGAAGAUAAGUAUCUAAUUUGUUUUUCUCACAUAUUUAGAUGUACUCAUAAAUUUCUAUACUAAUGUUAUUUUUCAAAACAUGUAUGACAGCAAUUCAAAACAAUCGAUACACAAAAACAAACACAGGAUGAUCUGUUACUUAGACAGAGACGAAGAAGUCGGUGGACUAACUUACAUAAACUAAAGAUAAAUAACCAACACGAAGAUAAGUAUUCUUUCUCAUAAUACCUGUAACAUUUUUAUCUGUAUUCACUUUCUUUCCACUAAACUUUAGAGAUUUUGUCAAUUUUCUCAUUUUCACAUACCUGCGAAAAUGCAUAAAAUAGUUAGUGUUUGCAAUAAUUAUACUUAAUAUUUAUGAAAUAAAUGAGAAACUAUGAAUGAAUAUAUUGAACCUUGAAUUUCAAUUACACUCUCUCUCUGAGAAUUCUUAGAUGAAGCUGCAAAUUUUGUAAAAUAAGAUCUAACUGGAUUUUCUAUUUAUAUGAGAGCUGGAAAAUAUAUAUCCAUCGGUCAUAACCAUAAGAAUUGAAAAACUAAAGUGCAUUCUUGAACAGCAAGUAUCUCAGUUGCAGUGGGUGAUAAUCUGUCAUAGAGGCUCCAAAAAGUAGCUAUUGCUUUUUCAUACAUUACCUUUGGAUAAUACAAUUACACAGAUAUGUAAUUCUUUAUUCUUACCAAUCAAAACAAAAGUAUUUUUAUGUUUAAUUUUAAAAAAAAUACUUGGUUAAAGCAAAUUCUAUAAGCACGGAUACAUUUAAUUAAUGGAUAACAAAAUGAUACUUAAUAUUUUAUAUCUAGUGUAUAGAGAACUUAUUUUUAACUAUAUUAUAUAUAUAUAAAUUCUAAUUUAUUUCAUUUCUUUCCCAUAUAAAGUGAAAUUUAAAGUGCAAAAACUUAGACUUUAGAUUUUACAUGAUCACCAUACAUGCACUUGGGGUAUAAUGGUUCAUGUAAUAAAGAUUAUACUUGCAAUUUUCACCAACUGAUUAAAUGUUUAUAAACCUUGAAUAAUUAUGAACAUCUUCCUUUGUAAAUUUUAUAAAUUAUGAUCAUCUUUUGCAGGACGGUCUCGCUGCCAAAUCAGAAACCACCAGUUUUAUUCGAUUCUGAGUACUUAAGGGAAUCUAAUACAAUUGCUGCUCACACUAUAAAUCAUUAUAAUCAGACGGAUGCAAAUCGACAAUCUUCGUAUAAAUAGGUGCCAUUAUGUCUUCAAAUAUCUGCAGUCAUGCAAAAAAAUAUUCACUUAGUAUUUGCAACAUUUUGUAAUAUUUAGAAUUUACAUAGAGCAUCUGUUCUACUUAUAGCUAAAAUACAAAUAUUUGAAACAGUCAUCAGCUUUCCAACAAAGAGAUUAGGAGUAAAGGUACAGGAUAAAACAACAUUUUAUGUACUUAUAGCUAUAAUAGAAAUAUUCAUAACACAGUUUUUCAGCAAAGACAACAUGAGUAGAAGUAUACAACAAACAACAUUUUCUGUAUUUAUAGCUAUAAUACAAAUAUUUGUAACACACAGGUGUUCAGCUUUCCAAUAAAGACAACAGGAGUAAAGGUAUACAAACAACAUUUUCUGUAUUUAUAGCUAUAAUAGAAAUAUUUGUAACACAGGUUUCAGCUUUCCAACAAAUACAACAGGAGAAAAGGUAUACGAACAGUGAACAGAUAAUUCUUUUAGAAUUAUCUUUCCAAUGUUAAAAUUACUUGUUUCAGAAAUAUUUGGAACAGUACGUGAUAAAACAAACUGUAAUCUCUAUUUCAGUUUUUUUUUCAAGCUGAUCUCUUUUCAGUUUUCAAUGAUAUACAAACUGUGAUCACAUAUUUUGUAAA